rnacentral:rRNA from 1 species
AGCGUACACGGUGGAUGCCUUGGCAGUCAGAGGCGAUGAAAGACGUAGUAACUUGCGAUAAGCCCAGAUUAGGUAGUAACAACCAUUUGAGUCUGGGAUUUCUGAAUGGGGAAACCCACGUGCAUAAGCACGUAUCCUUACCUGAAUACAUAGGGUAAGGAGGCGAACCGGGGGAACUGAAACAUCUAAGUACCCCGAGGAAAAGAAAUCAACCGAGAUUCCGAAAGUAGCGGCGAGCGAAAUUGGACUAGCCCUUAAGCUUUACACGCGUUAGACGAACGGUCUGGAAAGUCCGACGAUACAGGGUGAUAGUCCCGUAGUUGACGACGUGUGUUCAGUGAAAUCGAGUAGGGCGGGACACGUGAUAUCCUGUCUGAAUAUGGGGGGACCAUCCUCCAAGGCUAAAUACUACUGACUGACCGAUAGUGAACCAGUACCGUGAGGGAAAGGCGAAAAGAACCCCUGUGAGGGGAGUGAAAUAGAACCUGAAACCGUGUACGUACAAGCAGUAGGAGCACCUUCGUGGUGUGACUGCGUACCUUUUGUAUAAUGGGUCAGCGACUUAUAUUCAGUGGCAAGGUUAACCAUCUAGGGGAGCCGUAGGGAAACCGAGUCUUAACUGGGCGUUCAGUCUCUGGAUAUAGACCCGAAACCAGGUGAUCUAGCCAUGGGCAGGUUGAAGGUUGAGUAACAUCAACUGGAGGACCGAACCGACUAAUGUUGAAAAAUUAGCGGAUGACUUGUGGCUAGGGGUGAAAGGCCAAUCAAACCUGGAGAUAGCUGGUUCUCCCCGAAAGCUAUUUAGGUAGCGCCUCGGACGAAUACUACUGGGGGUAGAGCACUGUUAAGGCUAGGGGGUCAUCCCGACUUACCAACCCUUUGCAAACUCCGAAUACCAGUAAGUACUAUCCGGGAGACACACGGCGGGUGCUAACGUCCGUCGUGGAGAGGGAAACAACCCAGACCGCCAGCUAAGGUCCCAAAUUACUACUAAGUGGGAAACGAUGUGGGAAGGCUCAGACAGCCAGGAUGUUGGCUUAGAAGCAGCCAUCAUUUAAAGAAAGCGUAAUAGCUCACUGGUCGAGUCGGCCUGCGCGGAAGAUGUAACGGGGCUAAGUAGUAAACCGAAGCUGCGGCAAUAUACUUUUGUAUAUUGGGUAGGGGAGCGUUCUGUAAGCGGUUGAAGGUGUGUGGUAACGCAUGCUGGACGUAUCAGAAGUGCGAAUGCUGACAUGAGUAACGAUAAAGGGGGUGAAAAACCUCCUCGCCGGAAGACCAAGGGUUCCUGUCCAACGUUAAUCGGGGCAGGGUAAGUCGACCCCUAAGGCGAGGCCGAAAGGCGUAGUCGAUGGGAAACGGGUUAAUAUUCCCGUACUUCUUACAAUUGCGAUGGGGGGACGGAGAAGGCUAGGUGGGCCUGGCGACGGUUGUCCAGGUUCAAGUGCGUAGGCUUGAGAGUUAGGUAAAUCCGGCUCUUUCUAAGGCUGAGACACGACGUCGAGCACCUACGGGUGUGAAGUCAUUGAUGCCAUGCUUCCAGGAAAAGCCUCUAAGCUUCAGAUUGUAAGGAAUCGUACCCCAAACCGACACAGGUGGUCGGGUAGAGAAUACCAAGGCGCUUGAGAGAACUCGGGUGAAGGAACUAGGCAAAAUGGUACCGUAACUUCGGGAGAAGGUACGCUCUCGACGGUGAAGUCCCUCGCGGAUGGAGCUAUUGAGAGUCGCAGAUACCAGGUGGCUGCAACUGUUUAUUAAAAACACAGCACUGUGCAAAAUCGUAAGAUGACGUAUACGGUGUGACGCCUGCCCGGUGCCGGAAGGUUAAUUGAUGGGGUUAGACUUCGGUCGAAGCUCUUGAUCGAAGCCCCGGUAAACGGCGGCCGUAACUAUAACGGUCCUAAGGUAGCGAAAUUCCUUGUCGGGUAAGUUCCGACCUGCACGAAUGGCGUAAUGAUGGCCACGCUGUCUCCACCCGAGACUCAGUGAAAUUGAAAUCGCUGUGAAGAUGCAGUGUACCCGCGGCUAGACGGAAAGACCCCGUGAACCUUUACUACAGCUUGGCACUGAACAUUGACCCUACAUGUGUAGGAUAGGUGGGAGGCUUUGAAGCACGUACGCCAGUAUGUGUGGAGCCGUCCUUGAAAUACCACCCUUGUAGUGUUGAUGUUCUAACGUCGACCCCUUAUCGGGGUUACGGACAGUGCCUGGUGGGUAGUUUGACUGGGGCGGUCUCCUCCCAAAGAGUAACGGAGGAGCACGAAGGUGGGCUAAUCACGGUUGGACAUCGUGAGGUUAGUGCAAUGGCAUAAGCCCGCUU